AACACUGUUAACCUGCGGUACCUGCGGAAGGAUCAUUACAGAGUUCGUGCCCUCGCGGGUAGAUCUCCCACCCUUGUGUAUUUUCUACAUCUUGUUGCUUUGGCAGGCCGUUGGUUCGCCAACCACCGGCUCGCGGGCUGGUGCGUGCCUGCCAGAGGACCUCUCAAACUCGGUUUGUUAGUGUCGUCUGAGUACCAUAACAAUCGUUAAAACUUUUAACAACGGAUCUCAGAUCGGAAG
rnacentral:misc_RNA from 1 species